rnacentral:tRNA from 2 species
GGACCUGUAGCUCAGCUGGUAGAGCAACGCGUUUACACCGCGUCGGUCGUCGGUUCGAGUCCGGCCGGGUCCACCG